UCGGCCCUACGGGAGGCAGCAGUGGGGAAUAUUGGGCAAUGGGCGCAAGCCUGACCCAGCAACGCCGCGUGAAGGAAGAAGGCUUUCGGGUUGUAAACUUCUUUUCUCAGGGACGAAGCGAGUGACGGUACCUGAGGAAUAAGCCACGGCUAACUACGUGCCAGCAGCCGCGGUAAUACGUAGGUGGCAAGCGUUAUCCGGAUUUACUGGGUGUAAAGGGCGUGUAGGCGGGAAAGCAAGGCAGAUGUGAAAACCAUCGGC
rnacentral:rRNA from 1 species